AUUGAACGCUGGCGGCAGGCCUAACACAUGCAAGUCGAGCGGUAGCACAGAGAGCUUGCUCUCGGGUGACGAGCGGCGGACGGGUGAGUAAUGUCUGGGAAACUGCCUGAUGGAGGGGGAUAACUACUGGAAACGGUAGCUAAUACCGCAUAACGUCGCAAGACCAAAGUGGGGGACCUUCGGGCCUCAUGCCAUCAGAUGUGCCCAGAUGGGAUUAGCUAGUAGGUGGGGUAACGGCUCACCUAGGCGACGAUCCCUAGCUGGUCUGAGAGGAUGACCAGCCACACUGGAACUGAGACACGGUCCAGACUCCUACGGGAGGCAGCAGUGGGGAAUAUUGCACAAUGGGCGCAAGCCUGAUGCAGCCAUGCCGCGUGUGUGAAGAACGCCUUCGGGUUGUAAAGCACUUUCAGCGGGGAGGAAGGCGGUGAGGUUAAUAACCUCAUCGAUUGACGUUACCCGCAGAAGAAGCACCGGCUAACUCCGUGCCAGCAGCCGCGGUAAUACGGAGGGUGCAAGCGUUAAUCGGAAUUACUGGGCGUAAAGCGCACGCAGGCGGUCUGUCAAGUCGGAUGUGAAAUCCCCGGGCUCAACCUGGGAACUGCAUUCGAAACUGGCGGGCUAGAGUCUUGUAGAGGGGGGUAGAAUUCCAGGUGUAGCGGUGAAAUGCGUAGAGAUCUGGAGGAAUACCGGUGGCGAAGGCGGCCCCCUGGACAAAGACUGACGCUCAGGUGCGAAAGCGUGGGGAGCAAACAGGAUUAGAUACCCUGGUAGUCCACGCCGUAAACGAUGUCGAUUUGGAGGUUGUGCCCUUGAGGCGUGGCUUCCGGAGCUAACGCGUUAAAUCGACCGCCUGGGGAGUACGGCCGCAAGGUUAAAACUCAAAUGAAUUGACGGGGGCCCGCACAAGCGGUGGAGCAUGUGGUUUAAUUCGAUGCAACGCGAAGAACCUUACCUGGUCUUGACAUCCACAGAACUUUCCAGAGAUGGAUUGGUGCCUUCGGGAACUGUGAGACAGGUGCUGCAUGGCUGUCGUCAGCUCGUGUUGUGAAAUGUUGGGUUAAGUCCCGCAACGAGCGCAACCCUUAUCCCUUGUUGCCAGCGGUUAGGCCGGGAACUCAAAGGAGACUGCCAGUGAUAAACUGGAGGAAGGUGGGGAUGACGUCAAGUCAUCAUGGCCCUUACGACCAGGGCUACACACGUGCUACAAUGGCAUAUACAAAGAGAAGCGACCUCGCGAGAGCAAGCGGACCUCAUAAAGUAUGUCGUAGUCCGGAUUGGAGUCUGCAACUCGACUCCAUGAAGUCGGAAUCGCUAGUAAUCGUAGAUCAGAAUGCUACGGUGAAUACGUUCCCGGGCCU
rnacentral:rRNA from 1 species